UAGCUUUCAAAAACACUAAUUCACCUAAUAACCCUACUCAAAAACACCUAUUCCCAAAAUUUGGCUUCCUCUUCUUCGCAGACAAAUCCUAACAUCAAAGGGUUCCUCGUCUCGCACAAGGACAACAUUCUCCUCCUUCCUCUUUUCCGUUUUUGGUUUACUAGCAAGGAACUAUUCUUCUUCCUCUUCUUUGCUUCAGGUUCACGCAUCCAACCUAGCCUAGGGUUUUCUUCGUCGCGUAAGAGACAACCAACCCGAAGGGAUCAUUAAUGGCACAACGGAGGCGCGACAGAGUGCAAGGGCGCGAUGGUUGUUCUUGUUCUUCUCUUCGUUCUGAUUCACAACAAAGGAGAAAGCUUCAUUCUCUCGUCCUUUCCUUAUUUUGAUUGGGUUGUUUUAUGUUUGAUUGUUUCUAUGUAGGAGUGGUUGUAGGAGUGGUGGUGGGAGUGUGUUGUCUUCGUUCUUGCAGUUAUUUGGAGAGUUCGCAUUUCGUCUUGGGGCUUGAUAUCUAGAUUUUUCAUCCAUUGCAAGAUGAGCCAAGAAGAGUGGUUGUAUCGAUUUGAGUUAUGAUUUAGUUUUGUUCUUGUAUUUCGAUCUUGAAAGUUGGAUAUUUGAAUUACAAGUCAUCCAGAACCCUAAUUUGGAUGGAGAAUUACAAGUUAAAAUUUAAAUUUCCCAA